rnacentral:rRNA from 1 species
UACGUAGGGUGCAAGCGUUAAUCGGAAUUACUGGGCGUAAGCGUGCGCAGGCGGCUCUGCAAGACAGAUGUGAAAUCCCCGGGCUCAACCUGGGAACUGCAUUUGUGACUGCAGGGCUAGAGUACGGUAGAGGGGGAUGGAAUUCCGCGUGUAGCAGUGAAAUGCGUAGAUAUGCGGAGGAACACCGAUGGCGAAGGCAAUCCCCUGGACCAGCACUGACACGAGGCACGAAAGCGUGGGGAGCAAACAGG